rnacentral:snRNA from 1 species
AUACUUACCUAGAUGGGGUCAAUGAGUGAUCAAGAAGGCCCAUUGCCUAGGGUAGUGACCUCCAUUGCACUUAGGAGGGGUGCUCUCCUAAGGUCCACCCAAGUGGUGGAGCCUACGUCAUAAUUUGUAGCAGUGGGGGUUUGCGUUCGCGCAACCCUUCU